AGUCCACACGAGCCUGCCUCCAGGAAGCUUCCUGGACCUUUCUUCUGCCACCCCCCUCCACCGCAGGCAGACGAUACUCCCUCCACACCAUUUCCUCUGAGUCAACGACCAGCCCAGCGAGUGGCAUGGAGGAGGUGAGGAGUAUGUGCCCAGUGAGUGAAUGAAUGAAUACAUGAAUGAGUGAAUCCUCCCACUAUUGGAAAACAGAACCCGAGGAUAACAAGGGUGGCCAGUAGCUACCGACUGUCAGUCUAAAUUAAUUUAGGACCGAGGAGAGAAAGCCAUGCUGCUCGGGGCCGCAGUAGGAGACAGAGCAGUUUCUAGGAGUCAGCCACGCACUGGCCCUUCCUUGGAGACUGGAAACCGCAGUGGUUCUAACAGCCAGUGCACAGGGCUUCCUUCACACUGGAGCCUUCCUGAGCAUGUUGCAUUUGUUAACUCAUUUCAUCCUCAUAGCAAUUGAUGAAGGUAUUGUUACUAUUAUCUCCACUUUAGAGAUGAGGAAACUGAGGCACAGGAGCGUUCAGUAACUUGCCCUGGUUCAGUCAAAUGGCUAAUCUGUGUCACAGCCAGACCUCAUGCCCAUUUCUCUGAAAUUCCAGACAUGGGUGGGGUAGGGUAGGGCGGUAUGAGCUCUUCUUGGACCAGGAAGAAGAAAUGAGGCCGGGGGAAGGCCCAGGUCCCAGUCUUUGCCCGACUCAUCCCCUGUUCUCCUGGGUGCCCACUCCCCCUCAGGGCAGCCUGGGCCAGGCAUUGGUGUAAUAAGGGUCACAGGUGUGUGAUGGAGGAGGGAGCAGUACUCUGUGACCCAGGCCCUGGUAAGGAGGUGGAGCACCAACAAACUCCAGGAAACACAAGGCCAGCCUUGGUAUUUUCACUUCAUUCGUGGUCUUUCCAAAAGGAAAUGUAACCCCUUAAAACAGAAUGGGUCUGCCAUGCAGCGGCAUCUAAGUGCUGCCCAGGUACCCAGCGAAGUCAGAGGCAAGUCCGGGAGGGACCCAGGGGAGGGGAGUUAUCUGUUUCCCCAGCUGUGUUCCUGGUGGCUGCUAAUAACCCCCAUGUAUCAUUCUGCCUGGCUCCGAAAACAUUCUGACUGGCGUUAAAAAUGGGCCCCUCUUCUGCCCGUGGCUUGGCGCCCCUGCAACACGUGUGGGAUGCUGGUUGUUAGCAUGCUGCUUGUGUAAUUAGGGCGGCGAGGAUGGCAAAGGGCCCACCCCGGGUCCCCAAGAGUGAUUGCAGUUCAGAAAAAGCACCCACUUGGUUCUGCGCUGAUUAAUGAUGGACCCCGCUAAUAGCCCUGCUUAACACAGGAGUUUGUCAAGAUUAAGUAAUUGCCUGAAACAAAAAGUGUAUUAUCUUUAAGGCCCCACUGAUGAAUGACUGCUGCUAGGAAAUGGGGUGAUGGAUGUCUGUGACUCCCUGCCACCAUCCCUCCCCCAUUUGCAUAAAUUAAAAUGCAUCCCUUGAUUAGGCAAGAAGCCCUGACAGACCGUGCCAAGGGACCAGGUGGCUGAGGGCCCUGCUGUCACCCCUGGCUCAGGCCUGCUGACCACCGGGAGGCCCCAAACGGCUUGUUAGCAUUAUAAGUUGUGGGAUGGACAUAGGCCUCAUGGGCAGGGGUGGACCAGAUGCCCCAGGGGGAUCAAGGUUGGGACAUGACAGCUAAAAGGAGGAAACCACAGCACAGGAAAACGGAGGGGACCCAGAGGGAAAUGGGACCCACAGCCCCAGCUAUGGCUGGACGGAGGCUCACUCCACCCCCAGCUGGGCCUACACGGAGGAGCUGUAGCUAUGGCUUCAGUCAUCGGUCCCUUAUGGAAUAAAUCUGUAGGAAGGCCUACGAAGGGUCUGCUGUCCCCAGGGUUGUGGGGUCCCCACCUGUAAAGUGGAUUUUAAAAUUUUAUUUUAUUUUAUUUUGAGACGGAGUCUCACUCUGUCGCCCAGGCCGGAGUGCAGUGGCGUGAUCUCAGCUCACUGCAAGCUCCGCCUCCCGGGUUCAUGCCAUUCUCCUGCCUCAGCCUCCCGAGUAGCUGGGACCACAGGCGCCCACCACCACUCCCGGCUAAUUUUUUGUAUUUUUAGUAGAGACAGGGUUUCACCGUGUUAGCCAGGAUGGUCUCAAUCUCCUGACCUCGUGAUCUGCCUGCCUCGGCCUCCCAAAGUGCUGGGAUUACAGGUGUGAGCCACCACGCCCGGCCUAAAGUGGGUUUAUAAAUGAGGGGGUGUGCACGAUCUAACCACAGUCACAGAGGCAUAUUUUUAUACCUCUGGGCAUCAGGUUGCCAGGUCUGGGGCCAUGAAGUCAAUGUCCUUUGAGCAUUUCUUUCCUUCUGGAUGGCACUUUGUAAAAGACAGUUCACAGCAAGGGACAGAGCCAGGUGCAGUGGGAGGAAGCUGGCAUGGGGUAGGGCUGACCAGAGAUAGUGGCUGAGGGAAGGGCAGCAGGGGAGGGGAGCUGGGCUUGGUGGGGAGGGAGACAGUAGGGCCACAUUUGAGAAGAGGCUGCAGGGCCCAGCCAGGCAGGGAACACCAGGUGGGAGGCACCUCCAGGUGAUCUCUCUGUGGGACCCAACCAGGAAGAGCACUUUGGGCAGGAGCAAGCCCUCCCCACGUCAGCCAAAAGGCGGAGGGUGCAUUUAUUCCCAAUGAAUGACAACAAUCAUGCCACAAUCCUAUGGCUUCUGGUGGCUCAGGGGACCGGGGAACUGGGGGAGCCUCACAGCCUCUCUGCUGGAGGUUAACUCCUCAGCACAAGCACAAGCCAUAGACAACACUGCACCCCAAUUCCCCACCCUGGGUCAGGGAUGCCAUUUUCCAGGCACAGGCAGAGACGGGGGGUGAUCUAGGCACUAACGUGAAGCCUUCUCAGCCUGCAUCUGACUCCUGUAGACAGUCUGUCCUCCAGCCAUCAGCCAUUCAGCACUCUCCUUAGUGGCUGGCUCCCCCCUUCCUUUCUGGGCAAAAUAAGAUUCCCAAACCAAACCACCCACCCUGAAUCUGCCUCCAGGCUGGAGUGACACAAGCUAGAGCUGGGAGCUGUUCCCAUAACAUUGGUUUCCCCUAAACCACAGCUUCAGCUUCAGAGCACAUGCUAUGUGUGGCCCAUCGGUGGGAGGGGCUGGAGCCAGGGGGCCCAAGCAGUGGCCAGGUCUGUUGGGGGGCAGGGGGUGUCUUCCCUCCUAGGAAGGGGAAACUGCCUUCUCCCACAUCACAGAUGGCUGCAGGGCCCUGCCUCAUAGUUCUCAGCCCAGGACCCAGGCUUCUUUUCCCUUUUCAGGUGCUGAGAGGGACCCACAGUGGAUGACUCUAGAGCAUGAGUCUGCACGGGAAGCAGAUCCAGUGCUCAGAAGAGGGGGCCUCCAUAUGCAAGGGGCUUGGGAAAGGGGUCCCCAUGCAGCUGCCCACCAGAGGGGAGGCGAGGAUGCCACUUCUCUUGUUCUACCCAAGUGUGCACAAAUGAGUCACCCUGAAACCCAUGUCCAUGCCACGCUCUGGACAGUCUUGGGCACCUUCCCCAAUGGCCAGCCCCACUCAGGCCAAAGCCAAGCACGGCUGAGUGCACAGACCACCAAACCAGGGCAUGAAGGGUCACCCCUGGGUGACAGGCCCCCCAGGCCAUGGCUCCUCUGCUAUAAGAGUCCCCACUAUCAACCAGUCCUGCUGACCCCACAGUGCCAAGGGCAGGUUUAAUGACCUAUAAUAGGGCCCCAUGUGGGCAUGAGGCCAUCCUGUGCUGUCCACACCAGGGCUCCUGAGGACAGUCUAGCCCCCUGCUGGGGGCUUUCACCAGGUGGUGAAAAAGGAUCAAUUGGCUCCCCCUUGAGGGCAGCACCCAUCACAGCUGCAUCGUUCCUGAUAGUAAGAUUGCUUUCCCAUGCCCAGCAGUCCGGUGGGAAGCACUCAGUGUACCACACAAUGACAAAAGCUGCUGCAAGUUCCCCUGCGGGCACGGUUGUAGGCACUUCAUAUUCCUGUGUUGAUUUGCUCUUCAUUUCAACUCUGUGUGUGUGUGUGUUGGGGGGGUUAUGAUCACCACCCCCAUUUACACUGAGGAAACAGAGGCUUGAGGAGUACAUGACCCAUCCAAGACCACACAGUGAGGAACUGUCAAGGAAGAUCUGAACCCUCGUCUGCGAUUCUCCAGCUUGCAGCCUUAAGCAGCCACCUGCCCUGCCCACUGGCUGGCGAGGAAGAUGCCAUGCAGAUGGUGACUGUUCUUUCCCAUUACACAGCCCGGCUGAAUAACGUGAGAAGCAAAAGCCCUGACUACAGAAAACGCACUCCCCAUGGUAAUGGAUAAAUGAGCCCUGUGGGAUCUUCCUACGAGAGGCCAUUGCCACCCAGAGCCCCAGAGUCUCCAGGCUCCCAGUUCAGUCUCCACCGUGCAGCCCACAUCUUCAGGUCAGGGAAGUUUCUCUGGUUUACGGACCUCCAGCAGGAUCUCGGGCCCAGCCUCUGCUCUAAAGAUGCACAGAGGAAAAAGUGCUGGGCCAGGUCUCAAGGACCACCCAGGGCACCCGUCAACAGGUGAAGCCAAGCCGAGGAGAGGGCUGAGAAGGCACACACAAAGGCACAGGGAUGAGGAGCAGUGGAGUCUUCUGGGACUCCGAGAGCCCUGUGUGGUCAGAGCAUCAGCGGCAAGGCAGCAGGUCAGCAGAAGCAGGAUCACAUACCCAUAACCUCACUCCCUGGCUGGCUGGAAGUCGGCACGCUGGCCCCUCUGGUAGGCAGUUCUCCCACCCUCCAAGUCAGCAGCUGGAGUAUGCACAGGGACAGGCACCCCCACUGAUGCUGUGGGGCGCCCCGUAGAGGUUCCAGCACUUUCCCCACAGCAGUAGGCUGAGUUUGGGCUUCCCCUCCCCUCCUCCUUCUCUCCCUCCCUCCCUUCUUCUUUGCAGGAACUGAGAGCCCCCUUUUACAGCCCCUCACUGCAGGCCCCAAGGGAGCCUGAGGCUGCCAGAAAUGACUGCUAAUACUUCCAGCCACAUUUACUGAAACCUUUUGACACUGGAGGAUAUUUUUAUGAGAUAAGUGCCCUGUGUCGGUACCAACUGGCAAGUUUCAUUGCUCACAUUUCAGUCCUGCAAAAAGCCUUUUUCAAUCACUGUCCGUGGCAACGAUAAACUUUAAUGGCUGAGGGAAAGCCUGCAGCUCAGGCGCUCUGUCCUUCCUGCCUCCCUGCCCCACACCAGCCAAACUCCCUCCCUUCUCUCUGCUGGGCCAGAGGCCGAAGCACAGGGGCCAAUAGAGUUGGGAGAGACAUCAUCCACCCCCACCUCACCUCCUUUAUUUUCCAACUUUGGUAGAUCGCAGGCUCUGGAGGCAUAGGAGAAACACCAGGGAAUCAAGAGAGGCCAAAACCCAGCCCAGUACAGAAGCAGACUCUCUGGGGUGGCUCCAGGGCACCAGCGUUUUAAAAAGCUCCCCAGUGGAUUCCAUCGGGCAGGGGGCGUUGAGAACAGCUGCGCCUCCUCCUGGAAAGGUGGGUCCCUCCUCCUGGGAAGGUGGGUCCUUCCUCAGUCACAGUGCCACUUCCCUUGGCAGGCCGCUCCAUGGCUCACACAUGUUCACACAGACCCUGUCCUGCACCCAGGAGGUGCCAGGCAGACGUUCUCCUGAUGGGAGAAAACCAAAACCCAGAGCUCGUGAGGUCACAGAAAGCCAGGGACCGACAGGCUCUCAGAGCCCAGGGCCCUGCCUUCCCACCAGAGCAGGCAGAGUUUAGAACGAGCAUCUGGGUGAAGACUGGUCCUGGGCUGCCCCCACAGCAGGCACAGGUUCAUGCUCAAGGAAUGAAGAAUGAGUGAAAGAAUAAAUCCAUGAAUGAUUUUACCUACAGUAACUGAUUCAGCCAUCUCAGUGUCCUACAGGUCACCCUGCAUCUCAAGUGGACAGAGACUCACCCACCUUGCACAGUACCCGCUCUGGAAAUGAAGGCAGGAUGUGAAAUAAAGGACCAGCGAGCUAAGUCUGACUCCAAGAGCCUGGCUAUUUUUUCUCAGGCAUCCUUAGCCAACCUGCCUGUGGUUAUGCCAAAGUCCAGGGAUCUAAGGCUGAGGGUCCUGGGGACAGUCAGUCAGAACUGACAGUGGGACUUUGUCUCUCUCAGUGAGGCCCAGGCCUGCCUGGGGGCUCUCAGGGGGAGGGUCACUAGCACCCAGAACCCACAAUCAAGAGGCUGGUGGACUGUUUAAAGAAACUGUCUGAAUUGCAAUUUUUUUUUUUUGAGAUGGAGUCUCACUCUGUCGCCCAAGCCUGAGUGUAGUGGCGUGAUCUCAGCUCACUGCAACCUUCGCCUCCUGGGUUCAAGCAAUUCUUCUAAGUGCCUGCCACUGUGCCCGGCUAAUUUUUGUAUUUUUACUAGAGAUCGUGUUUCACCAUGUUGUCCAGGCUGGUCUCGAACUCCUGACCUCAAGUAAUCCACCUGCCUCAGCCUCCCAAAGUGUUGGGAUUACAGGAAUGACCCACUGCGCCCGGCCCUGAAUUGCAUUAAAAAAAGUUUAUUCCCCCAUGUUGUCUGGCCCCAAAUCCUGCCAUGGAGAACUGGCUUCAAUAAAUGCCCCCUCUGCCAUUCAUCACUUGAGUCUCACUUCCCUCUCCUGCCUCAGCUCAUACCAUUUAUUACACCCACAGUCUCCAAAUGAACAACUUCUGCAACUUACAAACAUACUUGAGAGCUCCACCUGUCCUCCCCAAUCCAUCAAGGCAACAAAAUUCAUUUCUCCUUGGGAGCCUAAAGAAGCCCAGGCUUGGGGACUAAUUAAGCAUUUCCUUUGAAAUGCAUGCAUGCUGUAGAUUGCUGAGGGUGAACUCCAACCUCUAAUAAAAUAGGAACCAGAUGCCAGGAACAGGAGGUGCACAGCAUCCUGCUAUCAUGGCCAUCACCCAGGAGGGACCCGGCGAGGGGCAGCACAGCCUCUGGAGGGCUCUGGCUAAUGUCAAAGUUCAGGUUCACAGCACCAGCUGGAAUUUUUAUUUUGGCCAUCAUCUACAACAAGGAAUGAGUGCCUCCUGACACCCCCAUGAGCACACCAUACCUCCAGCCUUCAUUCCCCCUUCCCUCCUUAUUUUGCACACUCUGGGGAAUCUGGCUGGAGCUCUAAUUCUCCUGCAAAGCCUUCCUGAAAUACUCAAACCUUGAAGGGACUGUUUCCCCUCCCACUACACCCGAUGAGUACUGCAAAGAUACAGCCCUUGGCCACAGAGUGUCAAUUAUUAUAAUAUUAACCACCAUUGCUUCUUCUCUCACUGGACCCUAGGCUUUUCUUAUUAUUGUGUGUUUUCCCAGCAAGUCCUCUAUAGCCGG
rnacentral:lncRNA from 1 species